GACGAACGCUGGCGGCGUGCUUAACACAUGCAAGUCGAACGGUGUGGCCCUUCGGGGUACACGAGUGGCGAACGGGUGAGUAACACGUGGGUGAUCUGCCCUGCACUUCGGGAUAAGCCUGGGAAACUGGAUCUAAUACCGGAUAGGACCCUGGGAUGCAUGUCCUGGGGUGGAAAGCUUUUGCGGUGUGGGAUGGGCCCGCGGCCUAUCAGCUUGUUGGUGGGGUGAUGGCCUACCAAGGCGACGACGGGUAGCCGGCCUGAGAGGGUGACCGGCCAAACUGGGACUGAGAUACGGCCCAGACUCCUACGGGAGGCAGCAGUGGGGAAUAUUGCACAAUGGGCGCAAGCCUGAUGCAGCGACGCCGCGUGAGGGAUGACGGCCUUCGGGUUGUAAACCUCUUUCAGCACCGACGAAGCGCAAGUGACGGUAGGUGCAGAAGAAGGACCGGCCAACUACGUGCCAGCCGCCGCCGUAA
rnacentral:rRNA from 1 species